AUGCAAAUGUCGGUCUCUAUCCCUGUGGCUCUGGCCACGCCUUGGGUUGUUCUCGUGGGCAUGGCGGCCCUCUUAGCUGCCUGGUUGGUCCAUUUGGUCAUUAGAUGGAACGUGGGUGCACCAUGCAAAGCAGGGGCGGUGCUGCCGCCGGGGUCGCGGGGUCUCCCCGUCCUCGGGGAGUCGCUCGAGUUCUUCGCCCGGAGCCCAUCGCUCGAGCUGACCCCUUUCUUGAAGCGCCGUCUGGAGAGGUAUGGUCCAAUUUUUAGGACAAAUUUGAUCGGUGAAGACCUCAUUGUGUCCCUGGAUCAAGAUUUGAACAACUUGGUGUUCCAAAAAGAGGAGAAGUUGUUCCAAAUCUGGUAUCCGGAGUCGCUCAUGAGAAUCAUGGGAGCCGACUGCAUUAUCGCAACGCUCGGGACCUUCCACAAGCACCUCAGGACUCUGGUACUUCGACUCUUCGGCCCAGAAAACCUCAGGGUGGUUCUGCUCCACGAAGUACAACAGACGGCCCAGGCCAGCCUACUCUCCUGGCUCGGUCAUCCUAGUAUUGAAGUGAAAGAGGCAACGUCUAGUAUGAUAUUCAGCAUCACGGCAAAGCGGUUAAUCAGCUAUGACUCCUCAAGCUCAGAUGGGAAGCUGUGGAAGCAAUUUGAUGCAUUUCUUCAAGGACUACUAGCAUUUCCACUUUACAUUCCUGGCACAGCAUUCUACAAAUGUAUGCAGGACCGGAAGAAUGUCAUGAAGAUCUUGAAAGAAUUGCUCAACGAGAGGAAGAAGGCAACAUGUUGGGAGAGUGUUGACUUUAUCGAUAUCUUGAUCGAUGAUUUGAAGGAUAAGAAGACUUUAAUGAACGAGAAAAUUGCAUUGGAUUUGCUCUUCUUAUUGUUGUUCGCGGGCUUCGAAACUACAUCAUCUGGGAUAACUGCUACACUUAAGUUUCUAACCGGUGAUCCCAAGGCCCUGCAAGAAUUAACAGAGGAGCACAACAACAUCCGGAAAAGAAGGGCCAACCCUGACUCUGAAAUCACAUGGGAGGAAUACAAGUCCAUGAAAUUUACAUCUCAUGUCAUACAUGAAGCAUUAAGGCUAGCUAACAUUGCUCCCGUAAUGUUUAGAAAAGCAACAGAGGAAGUUCAUAUAAAAGGUUACACUAUCCCAAAAGGAUCAAAGAUCAUGGUUAGUCCUUCUAGCAUUCAUCUCGAUCCUACUAUUUACAAGGAUCCCAAUGCAUUCAAUCCUUGGAGGUGGAAGGAUACUACUGAACCAAUGGGUGGCUCCUCAAAGGAGUUCAUGGCCUUUGGAGGUGGGCUGCGGUUAUGUGUUGGUGCCGACUUUGCCAAGCUAGAAAUGGCUGUCUUCCUACAUUGCUUAGUUACUAAAUACAGUUGGAAAGUCAUCAAGGGAGGAAACAUGGUGCUUUCUCCUGGACUACAGUUUCCUUGUGGUUUUCACAUACAGCUUCUCCCAAAAUAUUGA
rnacentral:rRNA from 1 species